UUCUCUCACUGUGCGUGUUCUGUCCUAAGU
rnacentral:piRNA from 1 species